rnacentral:lncRNA from 9 species
CAAGAGAUAACAGAAAAUGUCAGGGAGUUAGAAAUUAAACCUUCCACCCUCCCCGCAGCCCCCUCAGAUUCCUCCCUGUCUCUUGCCUUCCUAACCCUUAAUCUUUUCCCCACUGCCUGGUCAUCACAAUCUACCUAUUAUUUGCUCCCACCAGACUGUCACUCUUCCAGCUCCUCAGCCCGGGCUCCCAGCCCCAAUCUCAGCCCUAUUUUCCACCCCGAUUUUCGCGGAGAUCAUGGAAGAGGAACACAGAAAUUAUCCGCCCAAAUAGUGCAGCCUUUCCUUCCCACAGCACUCCCCAGACGAAGUUACCCCUGCCCCAGUAGGCGUCCUCCUCUCACCCGCCUCUGGGGAUGCCUCUGCUCCCAUUCAGGUGGCGGGGAAGUUGGCACCUCGGCGGCGGGACCAAAAACCCUACCCGCCUUUCCAGGGCCGAGCGGCCGGGCGGGUGGGAGCCACCGCUCAGAAGCAGCUCUAGGACCACCUCGCAGUCGAGCUUAAACAGCUAACAGAUCUCACCUCUCUGGGCGAUGUAGACGCUGAUCCCAAAGAGCCUCCUAGAUCACCGCUUUUGCCCCCCUUAAUCCAACUGCUUUCAUGGCAGUCUCGUUGUUCUUUCUGCAUUAUAUGAGUAAGGCUGGAGCAGGAGACUUGAAGGGUUUGGGGUUUUGUUUUUUUUUCUUUUUUCCUUCUUUCUUUUUCUUUCGUGUGUGUGUGUGUGUGUAAACUGUAUGUCUACACUACAUGCCAGUUAAGAGUACAUCUCAUGGGUUUUUACUGUGCUCUCCACCUAGAGCCGAAUUCUUAAAAGAAAAGCUUGAAAUCAAAGGCAUGAGAUUCAGACUUCUGGAGAGUUUAUGUUAAAAUGCUGGGUUCAACUGUAUUCAGAGUUUCUGGGGUCCAAGAUAAGAAAGGUCGUAAGAAGAAAAAUUGGCAUUAUCUAUUAAAGUUGAAUAUCCACAUACUCUAUGACCCAGCAUUUCUACUCCCAAUAGAAAUGUAUGCACAUAUGUGCCAAGAAGCAUGUACAGCAGUACUCAUAGCACUUUCAUUUAUAAUAGCUUAAAAACUGGUAAAAACCCAAAUAUCCAUCAAGAGUAG